rnacentral:lncRNA from 1 species
CCUCGCCUUAUAUCACAACUUCAUCUUUGAUUGGAUUAGACUUAAGAUUUAGGAUUUUAGGAUUUUAGGAUUUAGGAGUUUUGCAAUACUCGCAAAUUGUGAAGCUGAGUUCUCAAUUGCUUUCAUACCUCCACUCAUUCUCAACUCCACAAUUCAAGAUUACUGGCUACUGCAUACCUCAGAUUGCAAUAGCUUUCAUCAUUUCAUGUGAGCCAAGGGAAGCCACACCCCUUUACAAAUAAUCAACACAUUCUAUAUAACACAAAACAAAAAAAUACAGACAAAGCCAAAUAUACAAAAUUGACCAAUAGCCUGAACAAAGCAACAAAAUAUAUAAAACAAAUAUGUCAUAUAAAACUUGAAAACCUAAAAAUGAACAAAAAGUCCACAUUCUCCAUCAAUUCCAAAUCU